UCCGACCAGUUUGAAGCAAAAUUUGCUGCUGCUG
rnacentral:misc_RNA from 1 species